GGCGUGCUAAUCUGCGAUAAGCGCCGGUAAGGUGAUAUGAACCGUUAUAACCGGCGAUACCCGAAUGGGGAAACCCAGUGUGACUCGUCACACUAUCAUUAACUGAAUCCAUAGGUUAAUGAGGCGAACCGGGGGAACUGAAACAUCUAAGUACCCCGAGGAAAAGAAAUCAACCGAGAUUCCCCCAGUAGCGGCGAGCGAACGGGGAGGAGCCCAGAGCCUGAAUCAGCAUGUGUGUUAGUGGAAGCGUCUGGAAAGGCGCGCGAUACAGGGUGACAGCCCCGUACACAAAAGCGCAUGUGCUGUGAGCUCGAUGAGUAGGGCGGGACACGUGGUAUCCUGUCUGAAUAUGGGGGGACCAUCCUCCAAGGCUAAAUACUCCUGACUGACCGAUAGUGAACCAGUACCGUGAGGGAAAGGCGAAAAGAACCCCGGCGAGGGGAGUGAAAAAGAACCUGAAACCGU
rnacentral:rRNA from 3 species